rnacentral:rRNA from 1 species
UACGAAGGGUGCAAGCGUUACUCGGAAUUACUGGGCGUAAAGCGGGUGUAGGUGGCUUUGUAAGUCAGGAGUGAAAUCCCCGAGCUUAACUUGGGAAGUGCUUUUGAAGCUGCAGAGCUUGAAUGUGGGAGAGGAUCGUGGAAUUCCAGGUGUAGUGGUGAAAUACGUAGAUAUCUGGAGGAACACCGGUGGCGAAGGCGGCGAUCUGGCCCAACAUUGACACUGAGACCCGAAAGCGUGGGGAUCAAACAGG